UACGUAGGGUGCGAGCGUUUAAUCGGAAUUACUGGGCGUAAAGCGUGCGCAGGCGGUUUUGUAAGCCAGAUGUGAAAGCCCCGGGCUUAACCUGGGAAUGGCAUUUGGGACUGCAAGGCUGGAGUUUGGCAGAGGAGACUGGAAUUCCUGGUGUAGCAGUGAAAUGCGUAGAUAUCAGGAGGAAUACCGAUGGCGAAGGCAGGUCUCUGGGCUAUAACUGACGCUCAUGCACGAAAGCGUGGGGAGCAAACAGG
rnacentral:rRNA from 1 species